CCUACGGGCGGCAGCAGUGGGGGAUAUUGCACAAUGGGGGAAACCCUGAUGCAGCGACGCCGCGUGGGUGAAGAAGCGCCUCGGCGCGUAAAGCCCUGUCAGCAGGGAAGAAAAUGACGGUACCUGAAGAAGAAGCCCCGGCUAACUACGUGCCAGCAGCCGCGGUAAUACGUAGGGGGCAAGCGUUAUCCGGAUUUACUGGGUGUAAAGGGGGCGCAGACGGCGAUGCAAGCCAGGAGUGAAAGCCCGGGGCCCAACCCCUGGACUGCUCUUGGAACUGCGUGGCUAGAGUGCAGGAGGGACAGGCGGAAUUCCUGGUGUAGCGGUGAAAUGCGUAGAUAUCAGGAGGAACACCGGUGGCGAAGGCGGCCUGCUGGACUGCAACUGACGUUGAGGCCCGAAAGCGUGGGGAGCAAACAGGAUUAGAUACCCCAGUAGUC
rnacentral:rRNA from 1 species